UUGCUUCUCUUGAGAGCGGCGGACGGGUGAGUAAUGCCUAGGAAUCUGCCUGGUAGUGGGGGAUAACGUUCGGAAACGGACGCUAAUACCGCAUACGUCCUACGGGAGAAAGCAGGGGACCUUCGGGCCUUGCGCUAUCAGAUGAGCCUAGGUCGGAUUAGCUAGUUGGUGAGGUAAUGGCUCACCAAGGCGACGAUCCGUAACUGGUCUGAGAGGAUGAUCAGUCACACUGGAACUGAGACACGGUCCAGACUCCUACGGGAGGCAGCAGUGGGGAAUAUUGGACAAUGGGCGAAAGCCUGAUCCAGCCAUGCCGCGUGUGUGAAGAAGGUCUUCGGAUUGUAAAGCACUUUAAGUUGGGAGGAAGGGCAGUUACCUAAUACGUGAUUGUUUUGACGUUACCGACAGAAUAAGCACCGGCUAACUCUGUGCCAGCAGCCGCGGUAAUACAGAGGGUGCAAGCGUUAAUCGGAAUUACUGGGCGUAAAGCGCGCGUAGGUGGUUUGUUAAGUUGGAUGUGAAAUCCCCGGGCUCAACCUGGGAACUGCAUUCAAAACUGACUGACUAGAGUGUGGUAGAGGGUGGUGGAAUUUCCUGUGUAGCGGUGAAAUGCGUAGAUAUAGGAAGGAACACCAGUGGCGAA
rnacentral:rRNA from 1 species